CCCCUGCCUGCCUCUCCCCAACUUCUGAGUUGGUGUCUGCUCUGUUUUGGAAAUAGACCAAAAGCCGUGAAGUAUGGGAUGCUCAAGUGACCAGACUGGACAGAUAGAAAGUGCUGGAGAUUGAACCCAG